rnacentral:sRNA from 1 species
CUCCUCCUCCUAACGUAUAUAAUUAAAGUUGUACCCUUAAAAAAGGGAAAUGGUU